GACGAACGCUGGCGGCGUGCUUAACACAUGCAAGUCGAACGGUGAAGCGAGUGCUUGCACUCGUGGAUCAGUGGCGAACGGGUGAGUAACACGUGAGUAACCUGCCCAUCACUCUGGGAUAAGCACUGGAAACGGUGUCUAAUACUGGAUACGACCAACCCUUGCAUGGGGUGUUGGUGGAAAGAUUUAUCGGUGAUGGAUGGACUCGCGGCCUAUCAGCUUGUUGGCGGGGUAAUGGCCCACCAAGGCGCCGACGGGUAGCCGGCCUGAGAGGGUGACCGGCCACACUGGGACUGAGACACGGCCCAGACUCCUACGGGAGGCAGCAGUGGGGAAUAUUGCACAAUGGGCGAAAGCCUGAUGCAGCGACGCCGCGUGAGGGAUGACGGCCUUCGGGUUGUAAACCUCUUUCAGCAGGGAAGAAGCGAAAGUGACGGUACCUGCAGAAGAAGCACCGGCUAACUACGUG
rnacentral:rRNA from 1 species